rnacentral:rRNA from 1 species
UCGGGAAUUUUGGGCAAUGGGGGAAACCCUGACCCAGCAACGCCGCGUGAAGGAUGAAGUAUUUCGGUAUGUAAACUUCGUAAGAAUAGGAAGAAUAAAUGACGGUACUAUUUUGUAAGGUCCGGCUAACUACGUGCCAGCAGCCGCGGUAAUACGUAGGGACCAAGCGUUGUUCGGAUUUACUGGGCGUAAAGGGCGCGUAGGCGGUGUGUCAAGUCAGUUGUGAAAUCUCCGAGCUUAACUCGGAACGGUCAACUGAUACUGUCACACUAGAGUACAGAAGGGGCAAUCGGAAUUCUUGGUGUAGCGGUGAAAUGCGUAGAUAUCAAGAGGAACACCUGAGGCGAAGGCGGGUUGCUGGGCUGAUACUGACGCUGAGGCGCGAAAGCUAGGGUAGCAAACGGGAUU